GACGAACGCUGGCGGCGUGCUUAACACAUGCAAGUCGAACGGGAUUUAGUAAACAGAAGCCUCGGUGGAAGAUUACUAAUGAGAUUGUCGAACGGGUGAGUAACGCGUGAGCAACCUGCCUAUGACAGUGGGAUAGCCUCGGGAAACCGGGAUUAAUACCGCAUAAAAUCGUAGAAACACAUGUUUUAACGGUCAAAGAUUUAUCGGUCAUAGAUGGGCUCGCGUCUGAUUAGCUGGUUGGUGAGAUAACAGCCCACCAAGGCGACGAUCAGUAGCCGGUCUGAGAGGAUGAACGGCGACAUUGGAACUGAGACACGGUCCAAACUCCUACGGGAGGCAGCAGUGGGGAAUAUUGCACAAUGGGGGAAACCCUGAUGCAGCGACGCCGCGUGAACGAAGAAGGUAUUCGUAUCGUAAAGUUCUGUACUAUGGGAAGAUAAUGACAGUACCAUAGAAGAAAGCUCCGGCUAAAUACGUG
rnacentral:rRNA from 1 species